CGCAGGGCGACCAAAUAAGGAAUAAAUCUUCGGGUUAUGACACUUCUGACACUUUUUCAUCUCGAGUUAUCCGUGUUAACUGCACAGGCCAGCAGUGGUGGUGAAAACCUUCAAUUAUUCCUUUGUAUGAAAACGAUGAAACACAAAAGUUUGUAGUGACACCAACUGGACAAAAAGAGAAGCUGAGAGACUUCAGGCUGUUUCAUGAGUAUUGGGACAAAACAAGCUGCUUGGACUGCGAACGUUAUUUUCUGUAUCCAGAAACUGUUGUGGAGCUGGAUCUGUUAAACAUAUUAAGAGGUAUUCACCUACGAAUUGAUACUUCUCAGGCAAUAUGGUACGAUGUAGCCAGAGUUUGGAUAUAAGAAAUUUGUAUUAAACAAAUUAAAUCUUUUUUAUUGACAAGAAAACUCUCUCGUGAUCCACUCUGUAGACUUCAUCACUACUGAUGCAACUCUCUGGUGAAUUGUAAGUAACUAUGUACAACGAGAACUGUGUGUGUGUGUAUUCUAGCUAUUGGUUGUUUCAGCUGUCUGAUGAAAACCUACCAAUCACAUUUAGUAAUACUGAUACGAUCGUUGCAUAAUAACAGCCCUUUGUAACAGUCAUCAGUGACACAGAAAAUCUUACAGUGUUGACAGAAUAACCAUUUUUUCCCCCGACAUCACACAUGUAGCCAUUUUCUGAUGUUGCUACUAAUAGGACCCAUUUAAAAUGAGUGAAUAUAUCUAAAAGUUCAGGGGCCGUAUGUAUAAAAGUAAAAUUUUAGUCUUAAGUGUGUCAAAAUGAAUGACAAAUUUUACUCUUAUUCCUAGACUUAAGAAUAAGUAUGAUUCAUAAAGGUUCCUAAGUGUCAAGACUAGGUCUCAGCUCCUAAACCUAGUUAGGAGAAACAAGAUGGCAGCAAAGAGACACAGGCUUUCCAAUGAAGAUAUAAUGCAUUGGAGUUAUAUGAUGACAUGGAGUUGAUAAAACGAUACAUUUGAUUGACAAUUCUUUUCAUAACUGACCUAAUAAGAUAUACUUAGAAUAAUAGAAUAAUAAGAAUAAUACUUAAACAAUCAUUAAUAAGUUUAGUGCAUUUUAAUGACUUUGAACUUUUUACAACUUUAAAUGUAGUAACCUCUCCCACUCUACAAAUCAAUGCUCUGACUGUAGAAAUGAAAUAGUAAUUACCUUUUUUGGUAACUGGAAAAAUGCAGCAGUGCACCAGGUGAUGACUUGGACCCAUCAGUCCACAGUAAUCAGGCUCUUAAAUAGUACUUUUGCUAAACUUACCACACCAAACUAUUUUAAAAUAUUUUAAAUAUGAGGCAAGAAUAAAACACUAAACUAAGCAAAGGUAUUUAUCUGACAAAAUUUUGGCAAAAAAGGGGGAAAACUACAGCUAAAGGUUUCAGAAAAACAAAAAAGCUCAGAAAAAAGCAAACAUUGACUACAACAUAACCACUUUUUAAUAUUGCAUUGGUCCACUUGUUCUUGCAUGUGCUCAUAAUUUCUUUGUAUGACAGCCUGGCCAAAAAUAAUUUGAAAUAAUUUGAAAUUUAUUGGGUAACAAAUGAACACUUGUCAUUUACAGAUACAAUAACAACAAGUUACAUUGCAUUCAUUGCUUAUAUUUUGUUAAUUAAAUGUGUACAAUUAUACAUUUUUUAAUAAUGUAUUAUUUUUACAUUCCAAACUGUGUAAAACAUGAAUGAAUCAGGAAGAGGUCAAGGCCCAGCAAACCAUGAGCACCAUAAAUCUAAAAGCAUGUAAAAAAAAAAAAAAGGCAGUAAAUAUAUCUAUGAUAUUUUUAAAAUGAAACUAUACUGUAUGCAGUUUUUCUUAUACUAUAUAACUUGUAGAACAUCUACGCAAUUAUGUUGAAAUGAUCAGUAUUUUAAUUAUUGUUUUUCCUUGUGAGGUCUUGGAAUAAACUUCAGUGUGAUGGGAACCUUCGGCUGAAAAAUAACAU